CCCAUCUCAGGAUCACACCUGGAGAGUUUCCAGUACUCUACCAGUGUUGGCUAUGGGAGGGACAGUCAAGCAGAGGCCAAUCCAUUUCAUUCCUAGCUUGGGCAGUGGCUAGCGAGUGGAAGGCCAUCUGCUACAAGU
rnacentral:snoRNA from 1 species